rnacentral:rRNA from 1 species
CCUACGGGAGGCUGCAGUGGGGAAUAUUGGACAAUGGGCGAAAGCCUGAUCCAGCCAUGCCGCGUGUGUGAAGAAGGCCUUCGGGUUGUAAAGCACUUUCAGUGGGGAAGAAAGCCUUGGGGCUAAUACCCUCGAGGAAGGACAUCACCCACAGAAGAAGCACCGGCUAACUCCGUGCCAGCAGCCGCGGUAAUACGGAGGGUGCGAGCGUUAAUCGGAAUUACUGGGCGUAAAGCGCGCGUAGGCGGUCUGAUAAGCCGGUUGUGAAAGCCCCGGGCUCAACCUGGGAACGGCAUCCGGAACUGGCAGGCUAGAGUGCAGGAGAGGAAGGUAGAAUUCCCGGUGUAGCAGUGAAAUGCGUAGAGAUCGGGAGGAAUACCAGUGGCGAAGGCGGCCUUCUGGACUGACACUGACGCUGAGGUGCGAAAGCGUGGGUAGCAAACAGGAUUAGAUACCCGGGUAGUC